GAUGAACGCUGGCGGCGUGCCUAAUACAUGCAAGUCGAGCGAACAGACGAGGAUCUUGCUCCUCUGACGUUAGCGACGGUCGGGUGAGUCACACGUGGAUAACCUACCUAUAAGACUUGGAUAACUUCGGGUAACCGGAGCUAAUACCGGAUAAUAUAUUGAACCGCAUGGUUCAAUAGUGAAAGACGGUUUUGCUGUCACUUAUAGAUGGAUCCGCGCCUCAUUAGCUAGUUGGUAAGGUAACGGCUUACCAAGGCAACGAUGCGUAGCCGACCUGUGAGGGUGAAGGGGGACACUGGGACUGAGCCGCGAUACAGGCUCCUACGGGAGGCAGAGGUAGGGAAGCGAGCGAGAUGGGCGGAAGCCUGAAGGAGCGACGUCGCGUGAAUGAAGCAGGUCUUCGGAUCGUAAAACUCUGUUAGUAGGGAAGAACAAAUGUGUACGUAACUAUGCACGUCUUGACGGUAGCGAAUAAGAAAGCCACGGCUAACUACGUG
rnacentral:rRNA from 1 species